UCCGUGCCAGCAGCCGCGGUAAUACGGAGGGUGCGAGCGUUAAUCGGAAUUACGUGGGACGUAAAGCGCAUGCAGGCGGCCUGGUUAAGUCAGAUGUAGAAACGGCCCCGGGGCUUAACCUCGGAAUUGCUAUUUAGAAACUGGCAGGCUAGAGUCUUGUAGAGGGGGUAGAAUUUCAGGUGUAGCGGUGAAAUGCGUAGAGAUCUGAAGGAAUACCAGUGGCGAAGGCGGCCCCCUGGACAAAGACUGACGCUCAGAUGCGAAAGCGUGGGGAGCAAACAGGAUUAGAUACCCUGGGAG
rnacentral:rRNA from 1 species